GUCGGUUCGGUUAAUUGUUGUUAUUAACAGUUCAGUUCAGUUAGUGAAUUGUUAUCAAAAUAAUGGUUCGGAUCAAAA
rnacentral:pre_miRNA from 1 species